GGGUUGUGAGGUUAAGCGACUAAGCGUACACGGUGGAUGCCCUGGCAGUCAGAGGCGAUGAAGGACGUGCUAAUCUGCGAUAAGCGCCGGUAAGGUGAUAUGAACCGUUAUAACCGGCGAUUUCCGAAUGGGGAAACCCAGUGUGACUCGUCACACUAUCAUUAACUGAAUCCAUAGGUUAAUGAGGCGAACCGGGGGAACUGAAACAUCUAAGUACCCCGAGGAAAAGAAAUCAACCGAGAUUCCCCCAGUAGCGGCGAGCGAACGGGGAGGAGCCCAGAGCCUGAAUCAGCAUGUGUGUUAGUGGAAGCGUCUGGAAAGGCGCGCGAUACAGGGUGACAGCCCCGUACACAAAAGCGCAUGUGCUGUGAGCUCGAUGAGUAGGGCGGGACACGUGGUAUCCUGUCUGAAUAUGGGGGGACCAUCCUCCAAGGCUAAAUACUCCUGACUGACCGAUAGUGAACCAGUACCGUGAGGGAAAGGCGAAAAGAACCCCGGCGAGGGGAGUGAAAAAGAACCUGAAACCGUGUACGUACAAGCAGUGGGAGCACCCUUUGGGGUGUGACUGCGUACCUUUUGUAUAAUGGGUCAGCGACUUAUAUUCUGUAGCAAGGUUAACCGUAUAGGGGAGCCGGAGGGAAACCGAGUCUUAAUUGGGCGUUAAGUUGCAGGGUA
rnacentral:rRNA from 1 species